UACUCCUCACCCUCCCUCUCCUCUGCAGGACUUUGUGGUUGGGCUCUCCAUCCUGCUUCGAGGGACCGUCCAUGAGAAGCUCAAGUGGGCCUUCAAUCUCUACGACAUCAACAAGGACGGUUACAUCACCAAAGAGGAGAUGCUGGCCAUCAUGAAGUCCAUCUACGACAUGAUGGGCCGCCACACCUACCCUAUCCUGCGGGAGGACGCACCUCUGGAGCAUGUGGAGAGGUUCUUCCAGAAAAUGGACAGGAACCAGGAUGGAGUAGUGACUAUUGAUGAAUUUCUGGAGACUUGUCAGAAGGACGAGAACAUCAUGAGCUCCAUGCAGCUGUUUGAGAACGUCAUCUAGGACAUGUAGGAGGGGACCCUGGGUGGCCAUGGGUUCUCAACCCAGAGAAGCCUCAAUCCUGACAGGAGAAGCCUCUAUGAGAAACAUUUUUCUAAUAUAUUUGCAAAAAGUGAGCAGUUUACUUCCAAGACACAGACACAGUCACACACACACACACACACACACACACACACACACACACACACACACACACGGUUCCUCUAACUUGGUAAUUGAAGUGGCAGCCUGGAGGCACCCCCAGCUAUUCCCAGGUCCUCUGGGAUGGCCAGCCCAGGCUAGAUGUUACGCACAAGGAGCUCAGAGCCCAAGAGGGCCAGUUAAACAAAGAUAAGGUCCCUGUGUCUUUUCUACCACUUGGGGGAUCAAACUACUCCCUGCCCAUGGACCCAUGCUCCUAGGGAGCUCCCAGAAACUUCUCAGGGGCCAGGAGGGGAGAGGUCUGGUAGGGAGAAGUGGUGUUGGAAGCUGAGUCUGCAGCCUUAUGCUAAUGCUUACCUGGGACCCUGGAACCCCAGCAUCAGGAUAGCUAGUGGGGGUGAACUUAGUGAGGGGCCACUGGGUUAUGCUCUCCUUUAAGAGUAGGGAAGGAUUGAGGGUUUUGGGGAAACCAAGAGAACAAUUUGUCCAUACCAUCGGAUGAAGACUGCUGGCCAAUGGGAAUGUGACUGGUGGAGAUCUCCCAACUUCCAGCACCAGGCUGGCCUUUCCAGGGUCCCCUUUGGUCUUCUCGGGAGAUCACCCGGCUCAGGGACUGAUAACCAGGGAGCUAGACUGAAAUGGGAGAGGUCUGGUAGGGGGCAUCCCCCUCUUUCUCCCUGGCCACUUGCCACCCAGUUCCUUAACAUGGCAAAUCGGCCAGCCACACCUCUGCAGCUGUCCUUGAACAGGUUCAUCCCAACCCAGACAAAAAGCACAAACAUCCUAGCAGCUCAGGCCAUGCCCACCGGGGGAGGCAGGGGGGCCCUGGGUGGGAUGGGGGGUUGGGUCCAUGCAGCCCUGAUCCAGUGUUCGGGGAAGAUGCUCAGAAAUCCAUCCUGUACCUCGGAGCCUUGGGAUCUCACAGACCUUUCCCAGCCUAGCUCGCCAACAUUCUAAAGCACAAACCUGUGGACUCUGCUUGCCUGGGCUGCACCCCGGGGAUCGGUGUCUGUGUUAGCCCUAAGCUGGAGCUAGCUCUGAGGGCUGGGGACUUGUGACCAGGCAGCAGGUCAACAGAGCCUCAGGAAGAGAGAGAGCUGUUCCUGCCUCCCCAGAAGGGACAGUGACCCAGGCAGCAUCUUCCUGGAGGAACAAUCCCACGAAAGUACAUUCCAUCACCUGCAGCCCGGUCUCUGCUCAGGCUUGCUCUGAGAGUCCAUGCGUGUUCCCCAGAAGGCCAGCCCCAGGUUAAGGGAGGUCCUUAGAGGAAGAACGGGGUGACAGUGCCCCUACACACAGGUGGGCCCCCCUCUCAGGGCUGCACUGACCCCAUCUCCAUCCUGACUGGGGCCUCCCUUGACCCUGUCAACAGACCAUCAGCUCUCCCUGGCUCAGGGACCUCCCCUACCCCAGCCUGGCUCUCCCCAUUGAGGUUCCUAUCCUGUGAGAAGCCAAGGCCACGGGAAAAGGCUAUCACUCGAAACCUACUGCGCCCCUUAGCCUCUGGCUGCACGCCCAACCUGGAGGGGUCUGUCCCCUUGGCAGGGACCCAGACGGGCCGCAUGUCUGCAUGGCAGAAGCGUCUCCCUUGGGUGCAGCCUGGAAGGGUGGUUCCUGUCUCGGCGCCCACCAAUAUUCAGUCCUAUAUAUUUUAAUAAAAGAAACUUGACAAAGGA
rnacentral:lncRNA from 1 species